rnacentral:rRNA from 1 species
AUUGAACGCUGGCGGCAGGCCUAACACAUGCAAGUCGAACGAGUGGCGGACGGGUGAGUAAUGUCUGGGAAACUGCCUGAUGGAGGGGGAUAACUACUGGAAACGGUAGCUAAUACCGCAUACCAUCGGAUGUGCCCAGAUGGGAUUAGCUAGUAGGUGGGGUAAAGGCUCACCUAGGCGACGAUCCCUAGCUGGUCUGAGAGGAUGACCAGCGAAAUGUGAAACGAGACACGGGCCAGACUGCUACGGGAGGCAGAAGUGGGGAAUAUUGGACAAUGGGGGAAAGCCUGAUGCAGAAAUGCCGCGUGGAUGAAGAAGGCCUUCGGGGUGGAAAGUCAUUUGAGCGGGGAGGCGUUACCCGCAUAAGAAGCACCGGCUAACUCCGUGCCAGCAGCCGCGGUAAUAC